GGCGGCGUGCCUAAUACAUGCAAGUCGAGCGAACAGAUAAGGAGCUUGCUCCUUUGACGUUAGCGGCGGACGGGUGAGUAACACGUGGAUAACCUACCUAUAAGACUGGGAUAACUUCGGGAAACCGGAGCUAAUACCGGAUAANAUAUUGAACCGCAUGGUUCAAUAGUGAAAGNCGGCUUUGCUGUCACUUAUAGAUGGAUCCGCGCCGUAUUAGCUAGUUGGUAAGGUAACGGCUUACCAAGGCAACGAUACGUAGCCGACCUGAGAGGGUGAUCGGCCACACUGGAACUGAGACACGGUCCAGACUCCUACGGGAGGCAGCAGUAGGGAAUCUUCCGCAAUGGGCGAAAGCCUGACGGAGCAACGCCGCGUGAGUGAUGAAGGUCUUCGGAUCGUAAAACUCUGUUAUCAGGGAAGAACAAAUGUGUAAGUAACUGUGCACNUCUUGACGGUACCUGAUCAGAAAGCCACGGCUAACUACGUGCCAGCAGCCGCGGUAAUAC
rnacentral:rRNA from 1 species